CUGAGAAGCUUCUUUCCCAAGCAUUAGCCUUUUAAGCUAAAGAAGGGCUAUCAGCCCCUCAGU
rnacentral:tRNA from 2 species